UUUCUUGUUUUUGUAUGUCUGUGUGUCAGUGAGUUUUGUAGUGAGCUUGCGUGUGUGUCAGUGAGCUUUUCUGUAGGUGUGUCACUGAGCUUAUGUGUAAGCAAGCUUUUCUGUAGUCUUUAGUGAAUAAGGGUGUCAGUGAGCAUGUCUGUAAGUGGGCAUGUGUGUUUUCAGUGAGUGUGUCUAGUGAGCAUGAGUAUAUUUGUCAGUAAGCUUGUCUGUAAGUGAGCUUGUGUGUGUUGGUGAGCAUGUGUGUCAGUGAGCUUUUCUGUAGUGAGCAUGUGUGUCAGUGAGCUUUUCUGUAGUGACCAUAUGUGUGUCAGUGAGCUAGUCUGUAGUAAGCAUGUGUAUGUGUGUCAGUGAGCUAGUCUGUAGUAAGCAUGUGUAUGUGUGUCAGUGAGCUAGUCUGUAGUAAGUAUGUGUGUCAGUGAGCUAGUCUGUAGUAAGCAUGUGUAUGUGUGUCAGUGAGCUAGUCUGUAGUAAGCAUGUGUAUGUGUGUCAGUGAGCUAGUCUGUAGUAAGCAUGUGUAUGUGUGUCAGUGAGCUAGUCUGUAGUAAGCAUGUGUAUGUGUGUCAGUGAGCUUGUCUGUAGUGAGGAUAUUGGUGUGUCUGUGAGCUUGUCUGUAGGGAGCACGUGUGUGUGUCAGUAAACUUGGCUCUAGUGAGCAAAUGUGUCUGUGACAGUAAGCUUGUCUGUAGUGAGUUUGUAUACCAAUGAAUUUGUCUUUGAG